GACGAACGCUGGCGGCGUGCCUAAUACAUGCAAGUCGAACGCAGUGGGGACGGGGGAGUAACACGUGGGUAACCUACCAUAAGAGGGGAUAACACUUGGAAACAGGUGCUAAACCGAUACUGAUGGAUGGACCCGCGGUGCAUUAGGUAGGUGGUGAGGUAACGGCUCACCAAGGCCACGAUGCAUAGACGACCUGAGAGGGUGAUCGGCCACACUGGGACGGGGACACGGCCCAGACUCCUACGGGAGGCAGCAGUAGGGAAGCUUCGGCAAUGGACGAAAGUCUGACCGAGCAACGCCGCGGGAGUGAAGAAGGUUUUCCGAUCGUAAAACUCUGUUGUGAGAGAAGCGGUAUCUAACCAGAAAGCCACGGCUAACUACGUGCCAGCAGCCGCGGUAAUUC
rnacentral:rRNA from 1 species